CUAGAAUUCUGAUAAAAAUGUGUCUUUAUAACCUUAACCCUUGUGCUGUCUUGCCAUCAAGCUAUUCUCUUGACCUUAAGCUCUCUGGAAGAUGUUACUCAAAAUCUGUGGCUUUAGGUUGGCCAAAUCCACUUUAUGCCAUUACCCAACCAUAUCCGAGUGCCUGGAUUAUUUUCUUUAUUCAGAUUUGAUGUUUGGUCCUUUUGGUACUGGGACUUAUCCAUUAGAGCACCC